AUGGAGAUGCUGCUGCUGAACCCACUGGAAUGCCUGCUGCAAACACUGACAAGAGGUAUUGAUGGAGACAUUGUAAUGACCCAGUUUCACAAAUCCUUGUCCACAUCAGUAGGAGAAAGCAUCACCAUGAACUGCAAGGCCAGUCAUAAUGUGAAUAGUAAUGUAAACUGGUACCAACAGAAGCCAGGGCAGUCUCCUAAAGUGCUUAUCUACAAGGCAUCCAACCGGUUCACUGGGGUCCCUGAUCAAUUCACAGGAAGUGGAUCUGGAAUAGAUUUCACGCUGACCAUCAGCAGUGUGCAGGCUGAAGACAUGGCAGUUUACUACUGUCAGCAGCAUAGCAGCUAUUUUCCCACAGUGCUUCAGCCUCCUACACAAACCUCCUCUAAGAUUCUAACCAGCUGCCUGUACCACACAUCCCCAGACCUACACAUUUUCCCUUCUUCCUGCAGGUCCUAUGCCUACCUGUUGUCAAAUUUUGUAGGAAAUUAA